rnacentral:rRNA from 1 species
AUGAACGCUGGCGGCGUGCCUCAUACAUGCCAGUCGAGCGAACGGACGAGAAGCUUGCUUCUCUGAUGUUAGCGGCGGACGGGUGAGUAACACGUGGAUAACCUACCUAUAAGACUGGGAUAACUUCGGGAAACCGGAGCUAAUACCGGAUAAUAUUUUGAACCGCAUGGUUCAAAAGUGAAAGACGGUCUUGCUGUCACUUAUAGAUGGAUCCGCGCUGCAUUAGCUAGUUGGUAAGGUGACGGCUUACCAAGGCAACGAUGCAUAGCCGACCUGAGAGGGUGAUCGGCCACACUGGAACUGAGACACGGUCCAGACUCCUACGGGAGGCAGCAGUAGGGAAUCUUCCGCAAUGGGCGAAAGCCUGACGGAGCAACGCCGCGUGAGUGAUGAAGGUCUUCGGAUCGUAAAACUCUGUUAUUAGGGAAGAACAUAUGUGUAAGUAACUGUGCACAUCUUGACGGUACCUAAUCAGAAAGCCACGGCUAACUACGUG